ACAGAGUCUUGGGGUGAAGCAUUCAGAGAGGAGUUUGAUUGGAGCAAACACAGGAUGGUGUCAUUUCUUAUUGGCUAAGCACGGACCCACCCACCUGUUUAGCCAUUGACCAAUGAACAGCCAGGUUUUUCCAGGAAGUGGCUUUUAAUUACCCAGGAAGUUAAACUCUGUCAUGGCGUCUUUGCCACGCCCCAAACAAUUUGAGUUAAAAUGCUUGUCUGUUCAUUCACACAGAUGUUAACAGUGAGCGAAGUGUGUUUUCCAGUGACUCGUGGCUUUUUUUAAAAUAAAUAAAAUAAUUCCUGCAUUCAAAGGGAGUAUUGCAAAUGGAAGCCACCACAUGUUCAUCAAAUGUGUGAUGAGGAGGCUGGUGACUGAUGAAGCCCCUUGAAGAAGCAAGUAGGUGUCAACAGGGGACUGUUCUGAACCUUCCACCAUGUCACGCUCGCUACCUUCAAGCAGCAAUGAAGCCUGGUGCUGUGACCGGACCACGUCUACUGGAUCCAUCCCGGCCAUUUAAAGGGAAAAGUCUUAAAGGAGUCUUCAGCUGUGGCAGUGGAGCGUCGGGCAGCGGGUUAAGGAACGAUGACUCGGCCGACGGCGAGGACGAAGAGAAGCACAGGGUUGGACGGGCAGUGCUGUGUGCACGCAUCCAAGCUAGCCAUGCCUCCAGGGGGUGUGAGGGUUCACUGUGGGAGAGGAGCAUCGUAGCAGAUGUUUUCUGUCCUUCCAAGGCGAGAGGGGGGCACGAGGAGCGUUUGAUGACAGAC
rnacentral:lncRNA from 1 species